rnacentral:rRNA from 1 species
AUUGAACGCUGGCGGCAGGCUUAACACAUGCAAGUCGAACGAGUGGCGGACGGGUGAGUAAUGCUUGGGAAUCUGGCUUAUGGAGGGGGAUAACUACGGGAAACUGUCGCUAAUACCGCAUACCAUAGGAUGAGCCCAAGUGGGAUUAGCUAGUUGGUGGGGUAAUGGCCCACCAAGGCGACGAUCUCUAGCUGGUCUGAGAGGAUGACCAGCCACACCGGGACUGAGACACGGCCCGGACUCCUACGGGAGGCAGCAGUGGGGAAUAUUGCACAAUGGGCGCAACCCUGACGCAGCCAUGCCGCGUGAAUGAAGAAGGUCUUCGGGUUGUAAAGUUCUUUCGGCGACGAGGCGUUACCCGCAGAAGAAGCACCGGCUAACUCCGUGCCAGCAGCCGCGGUAAUUC